rnacentral:lncRNA from 1 species
UGCUGCAUCAUGAUGUCCCCAAUCCCAGAACCCCAGACUUGCAAGGGGCCCCAAAGUCUUCUCCACUGGAGAAAGCUUGUCCAGAGGCCUCCCCACUCUCCUGUUGGCUGGGGCCCCUUUAGGGAGGCCAAGGGAGAAGAGUGAGCCCACCCAGAGGGGGAGCCUGAGGGACGUCUCUCGAACCACAGUCAUCCAGACUCCUCUGCAGCUGCCAGGGUCCUGGGCACUGUGCCCAUUUUGAACACUCGAGAGGAGCCUUUAUCAGGCAUGGGAAGGAUGGGGGAGGGCAGGAGCCUGGAAGGUCGGCAUCACCUGUCCUGCCUGUGGGACAUGGGCCCCUCCCAGCAGGGGCUUCUGCCUGCUCUGGUCGACCUCACCCAGGCCACAGGCAGGUCCUCCCCGGGGGGCCAGAGCUGCAGACCUUCCACAGACCAAACCCCAGCACAGCCGGCACCGUGUGCACGGGACGGCACCUAACAGAAUGAGAGUUCUGGCCUCCUCGACGUACACACAGGGAAACUGAGGCUGGCAGAAGGAUAGACUUGCCGGGACUCCCCGAGGAGGAUGUCAGAGCCAUGACUUGGAGGAUGGAAGAAGUCACAAGAGAAGGUCACACCCACCUGACAAGAACAACCUUCAAAACCAUAAUCUUGGAGCCUCUGGGUCACACACAGUCACCCCUUUGGCUGAGUGAAGCCGACCGGCAUUUCAUGGAUCGGGGAGCAUCUACAGUCAGUGACUUCAGUGAAGGAGAUGACCCCCAUGACAGGGGUGGGCCUCAUCCAAUCAAGCGAAGGCCUCAAGAGCCAGACAGGUUACCGGAGAAAGAGGAAUUCUGCCUGUGGAUGGCAGCAUGGCUCCUGCCCAAGAGGGUCCAGCCUGCUGACCUGCCUUAUAGAUCUGUGAAUUUUGGACUCCCCAGCCAGCCCCCAAAUCUCCUUACAUGUGUAUCUAAUGUCCUGUUGGUUCCAUCUCUCUGUGGAGCCCUCACUGAUACAAUGGGGCCGGAAGGACAGGAUGUGGGCCCCCUUCCUUGCAAGAGCCCAGAGAGCUUCG